GACGAACGCUGGCGGCGUGCCUAAUACAUGCAAGUCGAACGCAGUGGGGACGGGUGAGUAACACGUUGGUAACCUCCCAUCAGAGGGGAUGACAAUUGGAAACAGGUGCUAAGCCGAUACGGAUGGAUGGACCCGCGGUGCAUUAGCUAGUUGGGGAGGUAACGGCUCAUCAAGGCCACGAUGCAUAGCCGACCUUAGAGGGUGAUCGGCCAAACUGGGACUGAGACACGGCCCAGACUCCGACGGGAGGCAGCAGUAGGGAAUCUUCGGCAAUGGGCGAAACCCUGACCGAGCAACGCCGCGUGAGUGAAGAAGGUUUUCGGAUUGUAAAACUCUGUCGUUAGGGAAGCGGUAUCUAACCAGAAAGCCACGGCUAACUACGUGCCAGCCGCCGCGGUAAUUC
rnacentral:rRNA from 1 species